rnacentral:rRNA from 1 species
UAGGGAAUCUUGCGCAAUGGGCGAAAGCCUGACGCAGCCAUGCCGCGUGUAUGAUGAAGGUCUUAGGAUUGUAAAAUACUUUCACCGGGGAAGAUAAUGACGGUACCCGGAGAAGAAGCCCCGGCUAACUUCGUGCCAGCAGCCGCGGUAAUACGAAGGGGGCUAGCGUUGCUCGGAAUUACUGGGCGUAAAGGGCGCGUAGGCGGAUAUUUAAGUCGGGGGUGAAAGCCCAGGGCUCAACCCUGGAAUUGCCUUCGAUACUGGAUAUCUUGAGUUCGGGAGAGGUGAGUGGAAUGCCGAGUGUAGAGGUGAAAUUCGUAGAUAUUCGGCGGAACACCAGUGGCGAAGGCGACUCACUGGCCCGAUACUGACGCUGAGGCGCGAAAGCGUGGGGAGCAAACA